CGGUAAUACGUAGGGUGCAAGCGUUAAUCGGAAUUACUGGGCGUAAAGCGUGCGCAGGCGGUCGUGCAAGACAGAUGUGAAACUUGGCCGCUCAACCUGAAGGCUGCAUUUGUGACUGCACGGCUGGAGUGCGGCAGAGAGAGAUGGAAUUCCGCGUGUAGCGAUGAAAUGCGUAGAUAUGCGGAGGAACACCGAUGGCGAAGGCAAUCCCCUGGGCCUGCACUGACGCUCAUGCACGAGAGCGUGAGAAGCAAACAGGUAAUGAUACCCUGGUAGUCCACGCCCUAAACGAUGUCAACUGGUUGUUGGACGGCUUGCUGUUCAGUAACGAAGCUAACGCGUGAAGUUGACCGUUCGGGAGAUACCCGGGCGGAAUUGAA
rnacentral:rRNA from 1 species